rnacentral:rRNA from 1 species
AACGAACGCUGGCGGCAUGCCUAACACAUGCAAGUCGAACGAGAUCUUCGGGUCUAGUGGCGCACGGGUGCGUAACGCGUGGGAAUCUGCCCUCAGGUUCGGAAUAACCAUUGGAAACGAUGGCUAAUACCGGAUGAUGACGUUAAGUCCAAAGAUUUAUCGCCUGAGGAUGAGCCCGCUUAGGAUUAGCUAGUUGGUGUGGUAAAGGCGCACCAAGGCGACGAUCCUUAGCUGGUCUGAGAGGAUGAUCAGCCACACUGGGACUGAGACACGGCCCAGACUCCUACGGGAGGCAGCAGUGGGGAAUAUUGGACAGUGGGCGAAAGCCUGAUCCAGCAAUGCCGCGUGAGUGAUGAAGGCCUUAGGGUUGUAAAGCUCUUUUACCCGGGAUGAUAAUGACAGUACCGGGAGAAUAAGCUCCGGCUAACUCCGUG